AGUCACUGACAUUAGAUACCCCCGUAGUCCCAGCCGUAAACUAUGCUCGCUAGGUGUCAGGCAUGGCGCGACCGUGUCUGGUGCCGCAGGGAAGCCGUGAAGCGAGCCACCUGGGAAGUACGGCCGCAAGGCUGAAACUUAAAGGAAUUGGCGGGGGAGCACAACAACGGGUGGAGCCUGCGGUUUAAUUGGAUUCAACACCGGAAACUCACCAGUGAAGACUGUUACAUGAAAGCCAGGCUGAUGACCUUGCUAGAUUUUCAG
rnacentral:rRNA from 1 species